CCCUUCGUCUCGGCGCCACUGGUCUGUUGUCCAGGAGAUCAUCGGCCUCUACGUAAGAAGUGCUGGGGUGUCCCCGUCGAUGAGUGUGAACUCAGGUUCAGGAACGAGGAGGUAAGACAACUGCUGUUUUAGACGGCAGACCCACUAGGGGUAUACCGAUUGUGCGGUAGGCCCAAAAGGGGUUUAAAUCUGUGUAUGGAAUCUGCCCCCUCUGUCGGAGGGAAGGAGCGAAGGC